AUUCAAUGAAAAACAUAUUUUGGAAGUAGAAAAUGCAGAUUUAGUUAAAAUGUGUAUCUUAGAUAUCCCCUUCAUUCAUUAUAAAGCAUGGUACUGACUCAACUGACUUCUAUAUAGAAGUACAAAUGAGGUAUCAAGCCUUUUCCUAACAAAAUUGAUUAUUUUUUUCCUUAACUGAAAAGUAUGUGUCUCAUAAGGUAAAAAUAAUAAUGAUGGUGCCUACGGUUUGUUUUAUAUUUAUGCAUUUAUUUUUCUUACUUCAAUAGAAGAUUUGAGAUUACUUUAAAAAUUGCCUUCAGCACCCUUCCUCUUAGGAGAAACAGAAGCAGCACACACUGGAAAGUACUAGAUUUAAAAGUAGAGCAGAGGCCCUAUUAUUUGAAACAUAGUUCAAGGCAACACAGACAAUAAAGCCAUUGGCUGGGGUAAAAUUUAACUGACCCUUUCAAGGUUGAAAGAGGUCUUCAAUCAAAAUGUUUCUUUGUCAGUAAAGGAAGAGCUCUGCAUUGAACUGAUUUAACAUUAAAAUCUACUGAAAUAGCUCUCACUUGGGGAAAAAAUAAGCUAAAACAAAAACAACAACAAUAAAAACCCUCUACAAUUAUGGAAUCAGAUUUGCUGAACAUAGCCAAGAUUCAGCUUGCAGAUAUGUUUCCUUGGCCUGCACAGUGUUUUCCACAAGCCAAAUUGAAAUGCAUAUGUGAGCUUGAUGAAAUACUCCUAGAGGAACUUAAUAUGAAAUGGAUGGCCAGCUGGGAAAAAGGGAUUAUUUGAAAUGUAUGUGUCUGUGAGGUCCUUAAUGUCAAGGGAGAAAAUGUUGUUGUUUGUGUCCUUGUAUGAAGUUU
rnacentral:lncRNA from 12 species